CAGGCCAAGAACGCUUUUGCGACAGGAGUUCACAUGUCUGAAAACGUAGUAGGCAAAACGCUACACAAGACAGAGACAAAGAUCCGUUAUUACCAUUACCACAACACCAUAACAGUGCACGAGGAGCUUUGCAGAGAGAUGUUACCUGUUUCGGCCAAGAAGAAGGUGACAUUGUACAAGAAGCUUCCAUUUGUGUAUGACGAUAACAUGAAGAAGCUAGUGAACACGAUUAAAGAGUUUGAGCAGAAAAAACUUGGGACCAAAGAUGUGAAGCAUUUCUCAUGACAAGAGAUAACAACCUAAUCCCUCUGAUAAUCAUUUUGUUUAUAAAGGUACAGUAGUUGUUUCCGUUUAGUUGUAUCAUCUGUUUUGUCCUCUUCUACUAUUUCAUUAAAAACAGAAUUUGAAUAUCGUUCUAGUUAAUUGAAAAUUUGAACUUAGCUACCCAUAGACUCAAAGAGACUGUUUUGUCGUUUACCAGCUUUAUAACCACAGAAAAUUUGAAGGAUUGAUUCAUGUUGUGUUUAUCUUUUUUGUGACAAAUUCGUUUAAACUCAUGAUGCUUAAGGUUUACCAAAGAACUUGCAACGCAUAGAGCGUAUGGAUACAAAGUAAGAAAAGCUUCACUAGUCUUAGAUUAACGAAAGUUUCACACACACAUAACAAACUGAAUCAAUCCAAGAACGCAAAUCAGAACAAACCAAACCCAUCUAACAAACUCAUAGAACAUCCAUGACAAGGACACUAAAGCAUAUAUCUCCAACAGUCUUCUGUCCAAAUACACAAUAAGAAGAGACAUAAAUCUUCGACUGUACCCACAAACAAACAACACAGAGGUCUACUGUAUAAAACGAUGAUCAUAUGUACUAUCAAAACAUAGUUUCCCAAAUCCUUGUGGUAGAAUACAACCAUACCAGUAGAAUAAACCCAAACAAAAGCAAUACAAGGAGGAUCUGAAAAGAUACAAGUCUAUACAUCUCACAAACUUUAAACGGUAAACAAAUCAUUCAAAUUCAACCUUUUAUAUGUUUCUAUAAGGAACCAAAUCCAGCAAACUUCAAAAAUAGAACAAAGAUUAAAGGAAUAAAUGUAACAAGAAAGUUGAAGUCAAAACGAAGUUUCAGACUCCAUCAUUUUUAUUCGAUUGUGUGUAACAGUGUAAGUAACAGCUUAUAGUUUUGUCUAUACAAAGACUCUUUUAGCGAACGAAAAAACUUGACAAAACCCGUAGAAGCUAACUCACACCGAAGAAGAUGUCCAUACAAAAUAUAGUUAAUCCUGUUGUUUAUCGGUUCUGUUCUUGUUUCCAUAUAUCAGACCAGUAACCUACAAUAUAACAAACCAUUGAUAACUUAUAAAUAACAUCCUAAGGAACGCAAAUGACUGAUUGAUUUUUUUUGUAGACUGACCUGAGGAUCAGCGAUUGGUCUCCUCUUCUCGACGUAUUCAUUCGCAUCAGCCACCGCGAGAAGUGCCCUUGCCUAAAUCAAACCAAAGAAGAAACUAAAAUAAGAGAUUCUUUUUUUUUUAGAGACCAUGAGUGUCGAGAUCGGUACCUGCUGUUCCUUUUUGAGAUCCUGAGCUGGUUUAACCCAAAGAUAGUAAGCGAUUGUUCCCGCGACGAGCCAAGAAGCGAGAUUCUGACCUCCUCUGAGUCCACCCAUGGAGUUUCCCACGAACGACCUCACGUUCCCCAUUGAUCUUCUCCAGUCGCUACCCAUUUGAUACCACUCUUUGAUCUCUUCAGUCACUUUGAUGGAUGAUUCGAUUUGUGAAUUAGAAAAGUAAAGCUUUGAUUUGGUCUGAUUCUAAUUUGCUUGGUGCCCACUGCGAAUACUAAACCGGGGUCGUCGAGACCGGUUAGUGGUGGCAAUUCAGCAAUCUGUGUUUUGUUUGUGAUUUGAACAUCGUGCGUCUGUAAUUUCUCCACGUAGCAUUAGGAGAUCUGAUCUAAUAUAUGGGCUGGAUAAAAUUGUUAGGCACAUCGACUUUGAAUAAGGUAGCUGUAGUAAAACCCACCUCGAUACAUAAUUUUUUUGGAAAAUGGAGGACGUUAGUACUAAUUUUCAUGAGAAUUCUUGGAAAAUGUCCGACAUUAGUACUACAGUAAAACCCACCUCGAUAAAUAAUUAUUUUGGAAAAUGUCGGACAUUAGUACUAAUUUUCAUGAGAAAGGACUAACAAUACUCAAUAGACCAGACACAGGCCAUAACCGAAUCCGGUUAUAGUAAGGGUGGUGUGUUGGUUGUGUACCCCUCUGAUUUUCUUGAAGAUGAAUGACUUGAAUACGCUUGAAUACGCGAUGAGGAUCCAGAAAAGCCCAAAGUAUUAAUGAUGAUAAUUUAUGAGUUGACUAAAUGAAUUGGGUUUGAGAUAACUCAGCAUACAGGUUUAUCAUGAUCAUCGUCCCGCCCCGCCCCGCAGUUAACAGUAACAAAAAUCUCUACAUAUACUAUAUAUCUAUAUAUUUUUAUAACUGUUAGAACCAUACUGCAAUUGAACCGCUUGUCCCGCACUAUAAAAUGAGAGAUAUAAACUAGAAACAUAAAGUUAAUUAUACAUAUGUUCGGUUAUCUUCGGAUAUCCAUUCGGGUUCGGGUAUUAUCCGUUCGGGUUCGGGUAUCCAAUCUCUCCUUAUUCAAUACCCGUUCGGGUAUUUUGCUACUUCGGUUCGGAUUUCGGUUCGGUUUUUUCGGAUCGGGUUCGGAUGCCACUUCGGGUAUCGGGUAAAGUGCCCACCCCUAUAACACACUACAUAGAGACAGCCACGAGUCUCUCCAUAAUAGAACACUUGUGUCGGCAAAAGCUACGAGUCACACUUCUCUCUUAUUACGCUUUUGUCGUAAAAAAGAAAAAAAAAAAAUUUUGAAACCGAAACGGUGCGUUUCGUUUCACCGGCGCCGGAAACAAUGAGGAAGGAGAUUCUGCCGCCGGUGUCCACCACCACCGUCUGUUUAGAGAAUAAGCCACUGGUCGCUACAUUGCUAGCUCUCUCCCUCGUCAUGAUCAUCUGGAACCUUCCACCUUACUACCACAACCUCAUCUCCACCGCUCCUCCCUGCUCCGCCUCUCCCACCACCACCGCCACCACCAUACUCUCCUCCUCCUCCUCAUUUUCUCCACCUGAGAAUUUCGCCACCUCUCUCUCCGCCACGCCGGCAACUUCUCCUCCGUCAGAUCCGAACAAACGCGUUUUCCAACCGUUCGGAAACGCGGCGGCGCUGUUCGUCCUCAUGGGAGCUUACCGCGGCGGUCCAUCAUCCUUCUCCGUCGUCGGACUCGCCUCAAAGCCAAUCCACACCUUCGGGAAGCCAUGGUUCAAGUGCGAGUACCUAUCCAACAACGGAACCACAACACGAGCCACCAAAGCCGUGAAGAUCCUCCCGGACUGGGGCUACGGACGAGUCUACACCGUCGUGGUCGUCAACUGCACGUUCCACUCGAACCCCAACUCCGAUAACUCCGGAGGUAAACUCAUCCUCAACGCCUACUACAACGAACCUCCCACACUCUUCGAGAGGUUCACGGCCCUCGAGGAGGGCGCAGGGUCUUACAACGAGUCGAGAUUCUCGCCGCCGUAUCCGUACGAGUACCUCUACUGCGGCUCGUCGCUGUACGGGAACGUGAGCUCGUCGCGUAUGAGGGAGUGGAUGGCUUACCACGCUUGGUUCUUUGGUGAUAAAUCGCAUUUUGUCUUUCACGAUGCCGGUGGUGUUUCGCCGGAGGUUAGGGAGGUUCUUGAGCCGUGGAUUCGAGCAGGGAGGGUCACGGUUCAGGACAUUAGGGACCAGGCUCGGUACGAUGGUUAUUACUAUAAUCAGUUUUUGAUUGUGAAUGAUUGUUUGCAUCGGUAUCGUCACGCUGCGGAGUGGACGUUUUUCUUUGAUGUUGAUGAGUAUAUUUAUUUGCCUGAUGGGAAUACGCUUGAAUCGGUUCUUGCUGAGUUUUCGGAUUAUACUCAGUUCACUAUUGAGCAGAACCCAAUGUCUAGUGUUCUUUGCUUGAACGAUUCAACUCAAGAUUAUCCCAGGUAUUGCUUCCUCAGUCUCCUUUGUAAUGCAAUUGAAUUCAAAGAAGUCAAUUGUUAUUGUUAGUACUUGGUAGAACCGAGCAUUCAUUCGUUUUUUGGUUUGAUUGUUUUAGUUUUCGGUUCUUUGUUAAAUAGAAAUUAGAAGAUAUCGGAACUGUCAAAGUAUUUUAUAAAAUUGGGUCGGGUUUGGUUCUUUAGUUCUGGUAAAAACAUUAACAACAACUAAUACCUGAAAAGUUGCUCAAAAAAGAAAAAAAAACUGAAAAAAUGAAAUUCAGUUUGGAUGUUAGACAAUUUGGAUUGUUUGAAAUAAAAUACUGGAUAAUUCGGACUAAUUCAUAUAAUUUGGAUAUAAAUAUUCGGAUACAAACAUAAAUUUUGAUAAUUCCUAGACUGUAGUUAUUUUAAAAUUAAAGAUAAUAGAUAUAUUAGUUGUAUUUCGGGUAUUAUAAUCCGAUUCGGUUUAGUAAUUUUAGUAUAGAGAAACAUGAACCAUUUAGAUGGUUUUCUGUUCGGUUCUUUGGAAUUUGGAACGCCUAAGCGUAAUUGUAGGAUAGAACCUUGGAAAUUAGCUUUUAAUUUGAUCAGUGAUGUUUCUGAAAAGAAAAACACUUGUUUUCUUGUUUGGUGUGUAUUUGUUAUCAGGCAAUGGGGAUUUGAGAAGCUACUAUUCAGAGAAUCAAGAACAAACAUACGACGUGACAGGAAAUAUGCGAUCCAGGCCAAGAACGCUUUUGCGACAGGAGUUCACAUGUCUGAAAACGUAGUAGGCAAAACGCUACACAAGACAGAGACAAAGAUCCGUUAUUACCAUUACCACAACACCAUAACAGUGCACGAGGAGCUUUGCAGAGAGAUGUUACCUGUUUCGGCCAAGAAGAAGGUGACAUUGUACAAGAAGCUUCCAUUUGUGUAUGACGAUAACAUGAAGAAGCUAGUGAACACGAUUAAAGAGUUUGAGCAGAAAAAACUUGGGACCAAAGAUGUGAAGCAUUUCUCAUGACAAGAGAUAACAACCUAAUCCCUCUGAUAAUCAUUUUGUUUAUAAAGGUACAGUAGUUGUUUCCGUUUAGUUGUAUCAUCUGUUUUGUCCUCUUCUACUAUUUCAUUAAAAACAGAAUUUGAAUAUCGUUCUAGUUAAUUGAAAAUUUGAACUUAGCUACCCAUAGACUCAAAGAGACUGUUUUGUCGUUUACCAGCUUUAUAACCAC
rnacentral:lncRNA from 1 species